rnacentral:rRNA from 1 species
UACGUAGGGUGCAAGCGUUGUCCGGAAUUAUUGGGCGUAAAAGAGCUCGUAGGCGGUCUGUCGCGUCGGCUGUGAAAAACUCGGGGGCUCAACCCCCGAGCCUGCAGUCGAUACGGGCAGACUAGAGUGCUGUAGGGGGAGACUGGAAUUCCUGGUGUAGCGGUGGAAUGCGCAGAUAUCAGGAGGAACACCGGUGGCGAAGGCGGGUCUCUGGGCAGUAACUGACGCUGAGAAGCGAAAGCGUGGGGAGCGAACAGG